rnacentral:lncRNA from 1 species
UUAUCCCCAUCCAUAACUCCUCCCAAAGGGCCCAAUAGCCUGCCUUCCAGCAGAGCUAAUAAUCCAUGGUUUAAGUUAUGCAUUCGGACUGUAAGAAAUCUGAAUAAAACGUCAUUCUCCCUUUUAUCCAACUGGCAAAAUGCAUACUCUUCCUCUAAACUCAAUUGAAUGGAGUUCUUUGAGAAGACUUCCUGAUAACAUGCUAGGAAAUCCAAGCCAAAAGCUCCUUUUGGAGACAAGAAUAUUCUGACAGCACCUCCUACGAUGUGACAGAGUCAAAGAAGAAAAUAUACAAGAGAACUCUGCUAUAGAAAAUUACAAAUUCAAACCAUGGGAAAAUGGGGAAUAGAAAAAUUAUCUCUU